GUCUAUGGCCAUACCACCCUGAACGCACCCGAUCUUGUCUGAUCUCGGAAUCUAAGCAGAGUCGGGCCUGGUUAGUACUUGGAUGGGAGACCGCCUGGGAAUACCAGGUGCUGUAGG
rnacentral:rRNA from 1 species